GCCGGGCGUGGUGGCUCACGCCUGUAAUCCCAGCACUUUGGGAGGCUGAGGCGGGUGGAUCACCUGAGGUCAGGAGUUCGAGAACAGUCUGGCCAACUUGGCGAAACCCCAUCUCUGCUAAAAAUACAAAAAAUUAGCUGGGUGUGGUGGCGAGCACUUGUAAUCCCAGCUACUUAGGAGGCUGAGGCAGGAGAAUCGCUUGAAUCCAGGAGACAUGGAGGUUGCAGUGAGCCAAAUUCAUGCCACUGUACUCCAGCCUGGGCAACAGAGUGAAACUCCGUCUCA
ensembl:misc_RNA Metazoa_SRP Metazoan signal recognition particle RNA